UUUCCGUAGGUGAACCUGCGGAAGGAUCAUUAUCGAAUUAUAAGCGAGGGUUGUAGCUGGCCUCCCUUUCGAGGCAUGUGCACGCCUGAGCUCUUAAAUCCACAACACACCUGUGAACCCACCGUAGGCCUUCGGGCUUAUGCAUAUAUACUCUGAAUGUGUCAUAGAAUGUUCAUGUUGCCUUAAAACGCAAUCAAAUACAACUUUCAACAACGGAUCUCUUGGCUCUC
rnacentral:misc_RNA from 1 species